GAUGGACGCUGGUGGCGUGCCUAAUACAUGCAAGUCGAGCGAAUGGAUUAAGAGCUUGCUCUUAUGAAGUUAGCGGCGGACGGGUGAGUAACACGUGGGUAACCUGCCCAUAAGACUGGGAUAACUCCGGGAAACCGGGGCUAAUACCGGAUAACAUUUUGAACCGCAUGGUUCGAAAUUGAAAGGCGGCUUCGGCUGUCACUUAUGGAUGGACCCGCGUCGCAUUAGCUAGUUGGUGAGGUAACGGCUCACCAAGGCAACGAUGCGUAGCCGACCUGAGAAGGUGAUCGGCCACACUGGGACUGAGACACGGCCCAGACUCCUACGGGAGGCAGCAGUAGGGAAUCUUCCGCAAUGGACGAAAGUCUGACGGAGCAACGCCGCGUGAGUGAUGAAGGCUUUCGGGUCGUAAAACUCUGUUGUUAGGGAAGAACAAGUGCUAGUUGAAUAAGCUGGCACCUUGACGGUACCUAACCAGAAAGCCACGGCUAACUACGUGCCAGCCGCCGCAGUAA
rnacentral:rRNA from 1 species